UCCCUCCGAAGUUUCCCUCAG
rnacentral:ncRNA from 2 species